rnacentral:rRNA from 1 species
CGGACGGGUGAGUAAUGUCUGGGAAACUGCCCGAUGGAGGGGGGUAACUACUGGAAACGGUAGCUAUACCGCAUAACGUCGCAAGACCAAAGAGGGGGACCUUCGGGCCUCUUGCCAUCGGAUGUGCCCAGAUGGGAUUAGCUAGUAGGUGGGGUAAUGGCUCACCUAGGCGACGAUCCCUAGCUGGUCUGAGAGGAUGACCAGCCACACUGGAACUGAGACACGGUCCAG